rnacentral:lncRNA from 1 species
GCAGAGACACAGGCAGAGGGAGAAGCAGUCUCCAUGCUGGGAGCCCAACGCGGGACUCCAUCCCGGGACUCCAGGAUCGCGCCCUGGGCCAAAGGCAGGCGCGAAACCGCUGAGCCACCCAGGGAUCCCCCAUUCAUCUCUUUAAAUACAUUGUUUUCCUUAAAGAUAUACACAAAACAUCUUUAGGUGCUCAUUAAUAAAUGCUUGUUAUUGAAUAUAAUUACUGAUUGACCUAUUAUUAGAUGAGGUUUUCCUGAGAGCCAUUACAAGUGGUCUCUGAAAGAAUUUUUUUCUCAGUUUUGUGGAUGAAAACAUGUAUUUGCCUAUGGCUAGGCAGUGAUUUAAUACAAUCCAGAUUUAUGGCUUUCGUGUGUGGUAAUCAAAUGAAACAUAAGGAUUUAAUAGAGUAACGGUAAACGUUUGAUUGUAUAAUAUAAACAUCUUAAAAAUAGUACUUUUUCUAAGUGGUUUGAAAGAUAUACGAAGUUAAUUCUAUGUAUUUAGGGAAAGUUAAAGCCAACUUAAGUUGGCUAUUAAUUAGCUCUGCACAUAAAGUAUUUUUACUAGAGAGAAAUACCUUUUUUUCUUCUAAGCUCCUAAGAGCUAAAUUACAACACAUUAAGGUUUAUAUUAAAAUGACACAUUAAUAAAUGGAUGAGGCACAUGUAUUUUGGCAAUGUUAAUUUUUAAAUAUAGUUUGUAAUUUGUUUUCUGAGAGCCUGUGGAUCUAAAAACAUCCCACACAAAAAAGAUUAGCCCAGUUAAUUCUACCCAGUUUAUAAAUUUAUAAUUUUAUAAAUUACAUAGUGGUAGUUUAAAAAAUAACAGCAUGACUGGGUGCUCCUUGAUUCAGAGGUUGAUUGUCCAGGUAUGAGUAUUGCUUUUCUAUUUUGGCUAUUUCCUUGCUCUUUAGCUUGGAAACAGAAUCCAUGAGUCCCUUUACAACCCAUUUCCUAAUCCAUAAAAUUUUGUUAGGGGCUUCAGCAAAACUGUACAAAAGGGAUUUGGAUUUAUCUAUGUUUUAAUUGUCCACAUUGUUCUUGUCCGUAUUAGCACUCUGUGCAAUAGUCUUUGGUCAGAGCAACAGCUGGAUCCACCUGUUUAAUGUUGUUGAUCAACUAAAACCAUUUACUGUUUUCAUAAAGUUUUUAAGACAACUUCAGGAGAGAGAACUUUCUUUUACAUUUUUUUUCUUGAGAAAAACUACUUUCCACUGGAAGACGGUCUUCUUUAAAUGCCUCCACAGAAAGUUUUUUUCUCUGCAUAUGAAUGAAGCAGCAUUAUCAAGGUAUAGACUCGAAGCAUCUAAAACUGAUCCUGAUCAAAGGAGGAGCAGCAUCAGUGCUUGUAGACUCCGGAUUUCUUGGCCCUGAGAAAAGUUGAAACAAGGUAGCUGAGGGUUUACCUCCAGAGUCUGGUCCUAGUGGUGAACCCUGUGAGAUUCGGUUGCUUUGCAAAAGUAAUGAGCCCAGCUUCCUGGGGAAGGCCUCCUAAUGGUUCCCCUCGCCAUUUAGGAUCCAAAGGCAAGUCUUGGACAACGUGUGAAUCGGGAAGCCAGGAUCAUGCGUCAGGGUCAGGAUCGGACACCGAGAUUGGCCUCCAGCACGGUCCAUUCAGGAGGUGUGGAAAUAGGUCACAUCUGCCAGUUCCAGAGCCAUGCCACAGGAUUUCUGCUGUGUGAGCUAUUAGCCAGCACCUUUCCCAUCCGCAGUAGUGGCCCAGAGGUCAGUAUAAGUCAGAUUCAACUUUAAGUUGAUAAUUUUACCAGCAGUUCAGCAAAGUGUGGCUUUAGAAUUCAGGUGCCCAGCUUUAAAUCUCUGCUGCAUGAUAGCUGUGUGAUCUUAGGCAAGUUCUUUACCCUUUGUCUCCAUUUCUCAUGUGUAUUAGUCCCUACUUCAUAGAGUGGUUACGAGAAUGACAUGUAAAGUGCUUACACUAGCAACAGGUAAAUAGCGAGCACUUAAUAUUAGCCAUUAUUUUUCAAAACACCCAGAGCAUAUGGAAUCUGGUGUUCUGAACAAUUUGCUAAUGA